UGUAUUGCUUUCACCUUAUUCCUCUCAGUUUCCCCAUAUAAGAUUGCUUUGUUGCUGUGUACAUUGCUCAAAUCUCAGUCAAAUUGUUUGUUCAAAUUCUCAGAUUUUCCUCACACAGUGCACCAGGUGCAUUGAUUGAAUAAUUGAUAUACAGGCGGAUUAAUUCACUGAGAUUUAUUAUCCAAACUCAGCGCACUUACACAAUAAACUUCACUUGGAAUUUAAAUUUUUAAUAUUAUAUUUUAGCAUUAGAUUACAUAUCAUCACACAUUAGACAACACAUACAUACCAAUAUAUGCUUGAUUGACCUACCGGUAUAUCAGUAGUUUUCUACUCAGUGUUGCACUGAUAUCACCUAAAAGCUUGGAAGUUACUGUAAAGUCUGAAAUACACAUCAUGAAAUCUUUUAACUCUACAACAUGCCUUGUUGAGUCUGAAGCUGAAGCACAAGCAAUACUGGUUAAAUGUUUAAGUAUUAAUAAUUUGUGGUGGGAUGUGGGGAGAAUUGUGGGUUUCUGUUUGCGACCUGUGGAAUAGAUUCCACAGGAUUCCAUAUGACAGAAUCCCUCUGCAUGAGAGCAUCCCGUGAUUUGGUCCAGAGUGAGUGGGCCAACAGGGGCCGCCAUAAGCAGAUGUCAGUGUGCGGGCCGCAUUGAAGAGGACACAAAUCUCAGCUAAGCCUCUCUUGUCCUUAUGUAACGCCCUCAGCAAGGCGCUAUGCCUCACAGAUCGCUGGUAUUUAUGAGUGACAAUGACACACACACACUUCAUACAAGCUCAAGUCCCUGUUCUCAGCAAUAGACUGGUUUUCUCUUUUUUUCCCCUUUUUUUUUCAUUAGAGAGUAUGAAAUAAGAGGAUAUAUUUAGAAACCUCCAACAACAGGCCAGCCAUUCUUUUUGUAUUGAACACUCCAUUCUCCUGGUCUCUGUGGAACCUGUGUCCAUGCAUGUAGUCCUUUUUCAUGAGGCUGCAUGUCUGUGUGUGUGUGUAUCGGCAUCUCUCCAUGCUCGUUGUCAAACCAAGGAUGAGAUCUGAGAAGUGAUGACUGCUUAAAAAUUGUUUUUUAAUUCAUCCUUUCUAUCUUUGUGAGGCACAGUCAUUUUUGCCAUCAGACCAGCAGCAGACUUUAAAGACUAUGAAGGACAAGUCUGAUUAUUGCUUGCAGUCAGCCCCAGCGCUCUCUCUCUGUCCCUCUCAUAUGGAGGAGCACACGACGGCCAUCACUUGUUGCUACAUUUGACUCAUCCCUCUGCAGUCAGGAGGUCAACAGCUUCACGAGGUGACACGGCACCAGUCUGCCAUACAGGUGAGCCUCGCAGCAUUUUCGGCGUCACUGAUUUCACAGUAGUCUAGAUAGACUGUGAAAAACACUUUUUAGGAUUCCAGUAAAUGUCUGCCAGUGUCUGUAAGAGAGGAACAAAACAACAACAAUUAGGAGUAAUUGAACACAAGAAAGAGCAUGAGAUGAGACAGAGCAACACGCUUUGUCCGUAAAUGAGCAUAAUAAUGUUUGAGACAUGACAUAUCAGCAUUUGUCUGGUGUGCAGUGAGAUAGAUGCAUCAUUUAUCUUUUUGCAUGAUUGUGUUUUUGCUGGUGUCACCUGGUGAUGAGAAACUCUUCCUCAGGUUUACUGCAUGUCAUUUGUUCUGUCAAUAUCGUUAAGUGUAAUUUUGUCAGACAAUUUGUACCACCACAGUGCUAAAGCAGGUAAUUAUUAACUAGUUUCAUGGUCAUUUUGUACCACAGUCUGGCUCUAGAAGCUGCAUUAUUAUUUUAUUUUGUUUGUAUUGUGCUCAUGCAGCGCGACUUCCUAAUAAAGUUACGUUGAAUCAAAUAAACACAAUCUAACACAAAUUAGGCAUCAUUCCACAGGCCUUCAUGUUAGCCAUUUGAGGGCAGCAUUUAUAUGGGCUACUCCAUCUGUAGUCUGUAAUAGGAGUAAUGUGCAUUUUCUAAACAGAAUUAUGCGCAGCAGUGAUUAGCUUCAUCAGUUCUUUCAUACAACUUACACACAAGAAUGUUUUUCUCUUUUUUUCUGCUGAUCUUGACUCUUCACGCCAUUACCACAGCUGUCAGCGUGCACCACUUUUAAAGUGAUAAUAUCAUUGUCUAUGAUUGUUACAACCAAUUGCUGAGGCACCCACUGAAUAGGUGUGAUUAAGGAUUCCUUUUAAUCCCAUCUCUGUUCCACUGUUGCACUGCAGGCCUUCAACUACACACCAAAAGUGUCUCUGCAUGUUGCGCUGUGUAAUUUAAUUCACCAAAAUUAGCUGAAACUCUGUGUCAAAUCAGAUGUUUCAUAUGCACUGUCUCACUCUUCCACAGACAUGUACAUUCAAGGUGUGCUCCUCAUAAUCCUCCAAAUUAACAAAUGCAGUAUGACAACCCAUGUGCUGAUGUAGAUUCAGAAGAUAGAAAUUAAGAAAAUUAUAAAAACUUAUCACUUGUUCUGAGAAUUGAUCGAUGAAUUUCUCAGGUCAGAGUAUUUGUUGUGAUGUGCAUCCUGCUUCUUUGCUGACAUUCGUUGAAAACAAAUGGCCUUGUGCUUCUGACUUUGUAGUGUCUUUGUGCAAUAGAGACACAAAACACAUAGCAUAAGGCCAGUCACUUCCCAUGAGAAAAGCUUGUGAGUCACAAGGAUGUAACCCCCAGCUGAAUCACUCACUUCGCUCACAUCUCACUCUCUUCCUCUCCCAGUCGCACUCAGUUUGUCUCUUUCUUGCCCUGGGUUACACACUGCUGUCACACACAAAAAGGUCUUCCUGGAGCUGUUGGGAAACCCUGCUGAAAGGCUUUACU